rfam:Tenacibaculum mesophilum strain DSM 13764 genome assembly, contig: Ga0131220_102
AAAGGGGAUGCUGAAAACCUUAUAAAAUAGAGUAGGCC